rnacentral:rRNA from 1 species
CAAUAGCGUAUAUUAAAGCUGUUGCAGUUAAAAAGCUCGUAGUUGGAUCUCGGGUCCAGACUCGCGGUUCACCUUGCGGUGAUUACUGCCCGUUCUGACCUACCUACCGGUUGUCCCUUGGUGCUCUUGACUGAGUGUCUCGGGUGGCCGGAACGUUUACUUUGAAAAAAUUAGAGUGUUCAAAGCAGGCAGUACGCCUGAAUAAUGGUGCAUGGAAUAAUGGAAUAGGACCUCGGUUCUAUUUUGUUGGUUUUCGGAACUUGAGGUAAUGAUAAAGAGGGACAGACGGGGGCAUUCGUAUUACGGUGUUAGAGGUGAAAUUCUUGGAUCGCCGUAAGACGAACUACUGCGAAAGCAUUUGCCAAGCAUGUUUUCCUUAA